UACGUAGGGGGCAAGCGUUGUCCGGAUUUAUUGGGCGUAAAGAGCGUGUAGGCGGCCAGAUAGGUCCGUUGUGAAAACUCGAGGCUCAACCUCGAGACGCCGAUGGAAACCAUUUGGCUAGAGUCCGGAAGAGGAGAGUGGAAUUCCUGGUGUAGCGGUGAAAUGCGCAGAUAUCAGGAAGAACACCCGUGGCUAAGGCGGCUCUCUAGUACGGUACUGACGCUGAGACGCGAAAGCGUGGGGAGCGAACGGG
rnacentral:rRNA from 1 species